GGGGGAUAUGAUGAUUUCUAAUCCAUAGAAAUAUUUCUGUAGUUCAGAUGAAGAAUAUAUAUAGAAACAUGCACUACCAUCUGAUCUCCU